rnacentral:tRNA from 1 species
GGGCCUGUAGCUCAGUUGGCUAGAGCGUCGCAUUCGCAUUGCGAAGGUCAGGGGUUCGAGUCCCCUCAGGUCCACCA